GUAUCAAUGUAGUUCAUCACCCUUCCAGUUGGAGAUCUUAUAAAAUCUGAUACUGAAUACUGUUUAACCUGUAUCUAUAGAAUUCAUCCUCUUUGAUACUGACUAUUAUCAGCUUGAAAUAUGGCUGCGUGUUGAUACUGAAUAUUAUAAACCUGAAAUCAAAGCAUUUUAUAGGUCAAUGGAGGAGUAGUUUCUAACUGUGUUUGUUUAGAGGAUAAUGAGUAUUA
rnacentral:lncRNA from 1 species